rnacentral:rRNA from 1 species
AGAGUUUGAUCCUGGCUCAGGACGAACGCUGGCGGCGCGCCUUUCAACAUGCAAGUCGAACGAGAGCCCCGGGCUUGCCCGGGGGGACAGUGGCGAACGGGUGAGUAACACGUGAGGAACCUGCCCCGAAGACCGGGACAACACCGGGAAACCGGUGCUAAUACCGGAUACCUUCACCGGGUCGCAUGGUCUGGUGAAGAAAUGGAUUCCGCUUCGGGAUGGCCUCGCGGCCUAUCAGCUUGUUGGUGAGGUAACGGCUCACCAAGGCAACGACGGGUAGCUGGUCUGAGAGGAUGUCCAGCCACACUGGGACUGAGACACGGCCCAGACUCCUACGGGAGGCAGCAGUUAGGAAUCUUGCGCAAUGGACGAAAGUCUGACGCAGCGACGCCGCGUGCGGGAUGAAGGCCCUCGGGUUGUAAACCGCUUUCAGCAGGGACGAAAUUGACGGUACCUGCAGAAGAAGCCCCGGCCAACUACGUGCCAGCAGCCGCGGUAAU